GUAGAGAGCUUGCUUCUCUUGAGAGCGGCGGACGGGUGAGUAAUGCCUAGGAAUCUGCCUGGUAGUGGGGGAUAACGUUCGGAAACGGACGCUAAUACCGCAUACGUCCUACGGGAGAAAGCAGGGGACCUUCGGGCCUUGCGCUAUCAGAUGAGCCUAGGUCGGAUUAGCUAGUUGGUGAGGUAAUGGCUCACCAAGGCGACGAUCCGUAACUGGUCUGAGAGGAUGAUCAGUCACACUGGAACUGAGACACGGUCCAGACUCCUACGGGAGGCAGCAGUGGGGAAUAUUGGACAAUGGGCGAAAGCCUGAUCCAGCCAUGCCCCCU
rnacentral:rRNA from 1 species